UCCCUUUUGUAGUCCUUUUACCUUUAUUAUGACAAAAAUGAUUUGUCAGUAUACUUCUCAUUAGGGAAAAAUAAAGCAUUUGAUGUCCCCUAUCCACUUUGUUAUCUUUUAUUCUAAUGAAGUAGUGAACAUCAUUAAAUUGAAGAAAAGGAACACAAGAAAUUUAUAUUCUUCAUAUGUUUAAGAUCUUCUCGCCAAAUAGACCACCAUUUUCCAUG
rnacentral:misc_RNA from 1 species